AUUGAACGCUGGCGGCAGGCUUAACACAUGCAAGUCGAGCGGGGUGAUGGUGCUUGCACUAUCACUUAGCGGCGGACGGGUGAGUAAUGCUUAGGAAUCUGCCUAUUAGUGGGGGACAACAUCUCGAAAGGGAUGCUAAUACCGCAUACGUCCUACGGGAGAAAGCAGGGGAUCACUUGUGACCUUGCGCUAAUAGAUGAGCCUAAGUCGGAUUGGCUAGUUGGUGGGGUAAAGGCCUACCAAGGCGACGAUCUGUAGCGGGUCUGAGAGGAGGGUCCGCCACACUGGGACUGAGACACGGCCCAGACUCCUACGGGAGGCAGCAGUGGGGAAUAUUGGACAAUGGGGGGAACCCUGUUCCAGCCAUGCCGCGUGUGUGAAGAAGGCCUUAUGGUUGUAAAGCACUUCAAGCGAGGAGGAGGCUCUUUUGGUUAAUACCCAAGAUGAGUGGACGUUACUCGCAGAAUAAGCACCGGCUAACUCUGUGCCAGCAGCCGCGGUAA
rnacentral:rRNA from 1 species